ensembl:lncRNA
GUUUCUACCGCUGACUGUUUCUACUGCUGAUUCUACUGCCGAAGGUUUCUACUGUCGAUUCUACUGCCAAAGGUUUCUACUGUCGAAAGUUUGUACUGCUGCAGGUUUCUGCUGCUGAGUUUUUCUGCUGCUGAGUUUUUCUACUGCUGAGUAUUUCUAGUGCUGACUGUUUCUAGUGCCAAAGGUUUUUACUGCUGAGUAUUUUUACUGCCAAAGGUUUCUACUGCUGAGUGUUUCUGCUGCUGAAGGUUUCUGUUGCUGAAAGUUUUGACUGCUGAGUGUUUCUACUGCCAAAGGUUUCUACUGCCAAGUGUUUCUACUGCUGAGUGUUUUUUUACUGCUGAUUAUUUUUACUGCCGAAGGUUUCUACUGCUGAGUGUUUCUAGUGUCGGGUGUUUCUGCUGCCAAAGGUUUCUACUGCUGAGUGUUUCUAUGCUGAGUGUUUCUAUUGCUGAGUGUUUUUUUACUGCUGAUUAUUUUUACUGCCGAAGGUUUCUACUGCUGAGUGUUUCUAGUGUCGGGUGUUUCUGCUGCCAAAGGUUUCUACUGCUGAGGUUUUUUUUACUGCUGAGUAUUUUUUACUGCUGAAGGUUUUUACUGCUGUAUGUUUUUUUUUUACUGCUGAGUAUUUUUACUGCCGAAGGUUUCUAUUGCUGAGUGUUCCUGCUUCUGAAGAUUUCUACCGCUGACUGUUUCCACCGCUGAGUGUUUCUACUGCUGAAGGUUUCUACUGCCAAGUGUUUCUACCGCUGAGUGUUUCUACUGCCAAGUGUUUCUACUUGCCGUUUCUGCUGCCGAAGGUUUCUACUGCUGAGUGUUUCUAUGCUGAGUGUUUCAGCUGCUGAAGGUUUCUACUGCUGAGUGUUUCUACUGGUACGGGGCGAUCGUGGCUCAAGAGUUGGGAGUUCGCCUUGUAAUCGGAAGGUUGCCGGUUCGAGCCCCGGCUUGGACAGUCUCGGUCGUUGUGUCCUUGGGCAAGACACUUCACCCGUUGCCUACUGGUGGUGGUCAGAGGGCCCGGUGGCGCCAGUGUCCGGCAGCCUCGCCUCUGUCAGUGCGCCCCAGGGUGGCUGUGGCUACAAUGUAGCUGCCAUCACCAGUGUGUGAAUGGGUGGAUGACUGGAUAUGUAAAGCGCUUUGGGGUCCUUAGGGACUAGUAAAGCAUUAUAUAAAUACAGACCAUUUAGUGCUGAGGGUUUUUUACUGCUGAAG